rnacentral:sRNA from 1 species
UAUAUUACAAUAAGAAUAUUUUAAAAUAAUAAAAAUAAUAUUUAAUUUUACGGAAUGAAGUUAUCUGGUGGAACGAGUUUGGGUUGAUACUCAUACGGGAUGAUAAUCUACGAGUGUAAUCUUAGAAUUAACAAUUUUAA